rnacentral:rRNA from 1 species
CACGUAGGGCGCAAGCGUUGUCCGGAAUUAUUGGGCGUAAAGAGCUCGUAGGUGGUUUGCCACGUCUGCUGUGAAAUCCCAAGGCUUAACCUUGGGCUUGCAGUGGAUACGGGGCAGACUAGAGGUAGGUAGGGGGAGAAUGGAAUUCCCGGUGUAGCGGUGAAAUGCGCAGAUAUCGGGAGGAACACCGGUGGCGAAGGCGGUUCUCUGGGCCUUACCUGACACUGAGGAGCGAAAGCGUGGGGAGCGAACAGG